rnacentral:rRNA from 1 species
CGAAAGGGUGCGUAACACGUGGGUAAUUUGUCUGAGAGUUCAGGAUAAUUCGCUGAAAGGCGGAGUAAUACUGGAUGUGGAUAUUGGCUGGGAACGGUUGAUGUCUAAAGCUGGGGACCGCAAGGCCUGGUGCUCUUUGGUAAGCCCGCGUCCUAUCAGCUGGUUGGUGAGGUAAAGGCUCACCAAGGCGGAGACGGGUAGCUGGUCUGAGAGGACGACCAGCCACACUGGAACUGAGACACGGUCCAGACACCUACGGGUGGCAGCAGUCGAGAAUUUUUCUCAAUGGGGGAAACCCUGAAGGAGCGACGCCGCGUGGGGGAUGAAGGGCUUCGGCUCGUAAACCCCUGUCAUUUGUGAGCAAGUGUUAUUGUUUAAGAGAUGAUGACAUUGAUAGUAGCAAAAGAGGAAGGGACGGCUAACUCUGUGCCAGCAGCCGCGGUAAUACAGAGGUCCCAAGCGUUGUUCGGAAUCACUGGGCGUAAAGGGUGCGUAGGCGGUAUGGUAAGACUUGGGUGAAAUCUCCAUGCUUAACGUGGAGGGAGCCUGGGAGACUGCCGUGCUGGAGGAUUGGAAGGGAGACUGGAAUUCUUGGAGUAGCAGUGAAAUGCGUAGAUAUCAAGAGGAACACCAGUGGCGAAGGCGAGUCUCUGGACAAGACCUGACGCUGAGGCACGAAGGCCAGGGGAUCAAACGGGAUUAGAUACCCCGGUAGUCCUGGCAGUAAACGGUGCACACUUGCUGUGUGAGGGAUCGACCCCUUACGUGGCGAAGCCAACGCGAUAAGUGUGCCGCCUGGGGAGUGCGGUCGCAAGACUAAAACUCAAAGAAAUUGACGGGGGCCUGCACAAGCGGUGGAGUAUGUGGCUUAAUUCGAUGCAACGCGAAGAACCUUACCUGCCUUGACAUGCAGAUAUUAG